rnacentral:rRNA from 1 species
CCCUUAGAUGUUCUGGGCCGCACGCGCGCUACACUGACGGAGGCAGCGAGCGUGUCCUUCGCCGGCAGGUGCGGGCAAUCUUGCGAGUCUCCGUCAUGCUGGGGAUAGAUGGUUGCAAUUGUCGAUCUUGAACGAGGAAUUCCUAGUAAGCGCGAGUCAUCAGCUCGCGCUGAUUACGUCCCUGCCCUUUGUACACACCGCCCGUCGCUACUACAGAGUGCCCGUGUCCAAGAAACGGUCGGACCUGUGCGGCCUCUCCGGGCGACCGGAGGGCCGUUACGGGGAAGACCCUUUAUUUGACGCGGGUCGAUGAAGUAAAAGUCGUAACA